UACAGAGACCUCAAGCGUUAUCCGGAAUCAUUGGGCGUAAAGCGUACCGAUAGGUGGUUGAUUAAGUCUUGGGUAAAAGCCAGAAGCUUAACUUCUGAGUUUGCUUAAGAUACUAAUCAGCUAGAGGGGCAAAUAGGAAGCUGGAACGAGCGGUGUAGUAGUGAAAUGCGUUGAUAUCGCUCGGAACACCGAAAGCGUAGGCAGGCUUCUGGGUGCCGCCUGACACUGCUAGGACGAAAGCGUGGGGAGCGAAUGGG
rnacentral:rRNA from 1 species